rnacentral:rRNA from 1 species
UAGAGUUUAUCAUGGCUCAGAUUGAACGCUGGCGGCAGGCCUAACACAUGCAAGUCGAGCGGCAGCGGGAAAGUAGCUUGCUACUUUUGCCGGCGAGCGGCGGACGGGUGAGUAAUGCCUGGGGAUCUGCCCAGUCGAGGGGGAUAACAGUUGGAAACGACUGCUAAUACCGCAUACGCCCUACGGGGGAAAGGAGGGGACCUUCGGGCCUUUCGCGAUUGGAUGAACCCAGGUGGGAUUAGCUAGUUGGUGGGGUAAUGGCUCACCAAGGCGACGAUCCCUAGCUGGUCUGAGAGGAUGAUCAGCCACACUGGAACUGAGACACGGUCCAGACUCCUACGGGAGGCAGCAGUGGGGAAUAUUGCACAAUGGGGGAAACCCUGAUGCAGCCAUGCCGCGUGUGUGAAGAAGGCCUUCGGGUUGUAAAGCACUUUCAGCGAGGAGGAAAGGUUGAUGCCUAAUACGUAUUCAGCUGUGACGUA